AGGUGAAUAAUAUUAUUAAAAUAGAUAGGAAUACAAGAGAAAUAAGUGUGAGGUUGUAAGAUGGCCUUUAUUAUGGUACUUGGAUAUUAGGUUUUAGAGUGGUCUUGGAUUUAAGGUGUUGAGGUGGCUUCAAGUAUAAUAUGUUGAAAUGGUCUCAAAUGCAAAGUGUUGGAGGUACUUGAGAUGUAAUAUUUUGAGGUGGCUUUAGGUUUCAAAGAAUGUGCUUCCUAUAAGAAUUCAAUGGAUUUUAUUAUGUAUUUUAGAAUUACACAUUCUAUUUUAUACUAAAUUUUUAGCUAU
rnacentral:lncRNA from 1 species